rnacentral:miRNA from 1 species
UGUUUUUAUUGCUUCUUUUAUUUUGCAUCUUGUAUUUUACUGUAUUACAGUUUGAAUUCUAUGGAUUACACAUUGUAAUUCAAUAAAAUACAGGAUGCAAAAUAAAAGAAGCAAUAAAAAUA